rnacentral:rRNA from 1 species
GAGUUUGAUCCUGGCUCAGGAUGAACGCUGGCGGCAUGCCUAAUACAUGCAAGUCGAACGGGGUGCUUGCACCCAGUGGCGAACGGGUGAGUAACACGUAUCUAAUCUACCUUUUAGUGGGGGAUAACAGUUGGAAACGACUGCUAAUACCGCAUACGACACCAUUAUGGCAUCAGAAGGUGUUGAAAGGCCCGUUUGGGUCGCUAGAAGAUGAGGAUGCGGCGUAUUAGCUAGUAGGUGGGGUAAUGGCCUACCUAGGCGAUGAUACGUAGCCGAACUGAGAGGUUGAUCGGCCACAUUGGGACUGAGAUACGGCCCAGACUCCUACGGGAGGCAGCAGUAGGGAAUUUUUCACAAUGGACGCAAGUCUGAUGAAGCAAUGCCGCGUGAGUGAUGACGGCCUUCGGGUUGUAAAGCUCUGUUGUAAGGGAAGAAUAGCUAGAGUAGGAAAUGCCUCUAGUCUGACGGUACCUUACCAGAAAGCCACGGCUAACUAUGUGCCAGCAGCCGCGGUAAUACAUAGGUGGCAAGCGUUAUCCGGAUUUAUUGGGCGUAUAGGGUGCGUAGGCGGUUUAGUAAGUUUGAGGUUAAAGCCCGGAGCUCAACUCCGGUUCGCCUUGAAAACUGCUUUACUAGAAUGCAGGAGAGGUAAACGGAAUUCCAUGUGUAGCGGUGAAAUGCGUAGAUAUAUGGAGGAACACCAGUGGCGUANGCGGUUUACUGGCCUGUAAUUGACGCUGANNCACGAAAGCGUGGGGAGCAAAUAGGANUAGAUACCCUAGUAGUCCACGCCGUAAACGUUGAGUACU